rnacentral:rRNA from 1 species
CCUACGGGAGGCUGCAGUGAGGAAUAUUGGUCAAUGGCCGGAAGACUGAACCAGCCAAGCCGCGUGAGGGAGGAAGGCGCAGAGCAUCGCAAACCUCUUUUGCCGGGGGACAAAAGGCCGGACGCGUCCGCUUCUGCGUGUACCCGGCGAACAAGCAUCGGCUAACUCCGUGCCAGCAGCCGCGGUAAUACGGAGGAUGCGAGCGUUAUCCGGAUUCAUUGGGUUUAAAGGGUGCGCAGGCGGGCCUUUAAGCCGGCGGGGAAAGCGCGGGGCUCAACCCCGCCGCGCCGGCGGAACUGGGGGUCUGGAGUGAGGGGGAGGCAGGCGGAAUGCGCGGUGUAGCGGUGAAAUGCAUAGAUAUCGCGCAGAACCCCGAUUGCGAAGGCAGCGUGCCGUGUCGACACUGACGCUGAGGCACGAAAGCGUGGGUAUCAAACAGGAUUAGAUACCCGAGUAGUC